GACGUGCUUGCACUGAAUGAGAUUUUAACACGAAGUGAGUGGCGGACGGGUGAGUAACACGUGGGUAACCUGCCCAGAAGCAGGGGAUAACACCUGGAAACAGAUGCUAAUACCGUAUAACAGAGAAAACCGCCUGGUUUUCUUUUAAAAGAUGGCUCUGCUAUCACUUCUGGAUGGACCCGCGGCGCAUUAGCUAGUUGGUGAGGUAACGGCUCACCAAGGCGAUGAUGCGUAGCCGACCUGAGAGGGUAAUCGGCCACAUUGGGACUGAGACACGGCCCAGACUCCUACGGGAGGCAGCAGUAGGGAAUCUUCCACAAUGGACGCAAGUCUGAUGGAGCAACGCCGCGUGAGUGAAGAAGGGUUUCGGCUCGUAAAGCUCUGUUGUUAAAGAAGAACGUGGGUGAGAGUAACUGUUCACCCAGUGACGGUAUUUAACCAGAAAGCCACGGCUAACUACGUGCCAGCAGCCGCGGUAAUACGUAGGUGGCAAGCGUUAUCCGGAUUUAUUGGGCGUAAAGCGAGCGCAGGCGGUCUUUUAAGUCUAAUGUGAAAGCCUUCGGCUCAACCGAAGAAGUGCAUUGGAAACUGGGAGACUUGAGUGCAGAAGAGGACAGUGGAACUCCAUGUGUAGCGGUGAAAUGCGUAGAUAUAUGGAAGAACACCAGUGGCGAAGGCGGCUGUCUGGUCUGUAACUGACGCUGAGGCUCGAAAGCAUGGGUAGCGAACAGGAUUAGAUACCCUGGUAGUCCAUGCCGUAAACGAUGAUUACUAAGUGUUGGAGGGUUUCCGCCCUUCAGUGCUGCAGCUAACGCAUUAAGUAAUCCGCCUGGGGAGUACGACCGCAAGGUUGAAACUCAAAAGAAUUGACGGGGGCCCGCACAAGCGGUGGAGCAUGUGGUUUAAUUCGAAGCUACGCGAAGAACCUUACCAGGUCUUGACAUCUUCUGCCAACCUAAGAGAUUAGGCGUUCCCUUCGGGGACAGAAUGACAGGUGGUGCAUGGUUGUCGUCAGCUCGUGUCGUGAGAUGUUGGGUUAAGUCCCGCAACGAGCGCAACCCUUAUUACUAGUUGCCAGCAUUCAGUUGGGCACUCUAGUGAGACUGCCGGUGACAAACCGGAGGAAGGUGGGGACGACGUCAAAUCAUCAUGCCCCUUAUGACCUGGGCUACACACGUGCUACAAUGGAUGGUACAACGAGUCGCGAAACCGCGAGGUUUAGCUAAUCUCUUAAAACCAUUCUCAGUUCGGACUGUAGGCUGCAACUCGCCUACACGAAGUCGGAAUCGCUAGUAAUCGCGGAUCAGCAUGCCGCGGUGAAUACGUUCCCGGGCCUUGUACACACCGCCCGUCACACCAUGAGAGUUUGUAACACCCAAAGCCGGUGGGGUAACCUUUUAGGAGCUAGCCGUCUAAGGUGGGACAGAUGA
rnacentral:rRNA from 1 species